rnacentral:rRNA from 1 species
GCUAAUACAUGCAAGUCGAGCGAACAGACGAGGAGCUUGCUCCUCUGACGUUAGCGGCGGACGGGUGAGUAACACGUGGAUAACCUACCUAUAAGACUGGGAUAACUUCGGGAAACCGGAGCUAAUACCGGAUAACAUGUUGAACCGCAUGGUUCAACAGUGAAAGACGGUUUUGCUGUCACUUAUAGAUGGAUCCGCGCCGCAUUAGCUAGUUGGUAAGGUAACGGCUUACCAAGGCAACGAUGCGUAGCCGACCUGAGAGGGUGAUCGGCCACACUGGAACUGAGACACGGUCCAGACUCCUACGGGAGGCAGCAGUAGGGAAUCUUCCGCAAUGGGCGAAAGCCUGACGGAGCAACGCCGCGUGAGUGAUGAAGGUCUUCGGAUCGUAAAACUCUGUUAUUAGGGAAGAACAAAUGUGUAAGUAACUAUGCACGUCUUGACGGUACCUAAUCAGAAAGCCACGGCUAACUACGUGCCAGCAGCCGCGGUAAUACGUAGGUGGCAAGCGUUAUCCGGAAUUAUUGGGCGUAAAGCGCGCGUAGGCGGUUUUUUAAGUCUGAUGUGAAAGCCCACGGCUCAACCGUGGAGGGUCAUUGGAAACUGGAAAACUUGAGUGCAGAAGAGGAAAGUGGAAUUCCAUGUGUAGCGGUGAAAUGCGCAGAGAUAUGGAGGAACACCAGUGGCGAAGGCGACUUUCUGGUCUGUAACUGACGCUGAUGUGCGAAAGCGUGGGGAUCAAACAGGAUUAGAUACCUGGGUAGUCACUGAGCCCUGAUCUAACUCU